rnacentral:misc_RNA from 1 species
UGACAACAUAAAUCUGAAAGUCUCUGCUUCUUGGGACUUCCGCCCCUAACAGCUGUGUAGAGCCCGAUCCCGGAACUCAGGUUAGCCGGUGAUCGGAUAUUCAGCGAAGUUAAUAAAAUGGGUUUAGGCUUUGCAAUUGGCGCUUUUGGAGUACUGAUUCUGGCUCAUGCAGCUUAUUCAACCAUUCAAUAUAGAGGUUUGUUGAAGAUUAUGGAGGAGGAGUUUUCAGGACCUCCAAUGAACGUGGUGGUCGAGUUGCUCGUAGGGUUAGUUUUGUGUAUGUGGGCUGCUUUAACUGUACCGGGAAAGUUCCUAUCUAUACACCCUCAUUCUGAUGAGAAUAGGAUAGUUUCUUUGCCGGCCAAUAUGGACUUCAUGGUCUUCAACCAUCGUGGGAAAGUAUUUCCUUCAGCAAUGGACUUGAAACUGAAACAUUGAAGUCUUAUCAAUCUAAUGGUAGGAUCAUCUUUUGGGGGCUAUUUAAGGGAAAAAAAAAUAAUUUCUUUUUCAAAUUUAGAACUUGGAAAGAGCCAAAAAUGGUGGAUUUGGCAACUUGGUGGUGCUAAUACCUAGUUACUUAGAACAACACUUAUUGUUUGUCCCUUAGUUUUGUAAUUUUAUGCUACGUCUCGAAUAUUUUGUCUUAUUUUCCACUGUCUGGUAUGUAAUUUGAACAUUUAUAGGUGCUGC